GCGUCGCUGUGCCCCAUCAGGAAACUAAUCCUCAUGUUAUCCCAGAUCCACAUGUCUCUUAUUUUCUCCUGAUUUUUCUUCCUUGGUGGUGGCACAUGUGGCUGGAUGAGUGGGUGGAUCUCGGCGACCUCGCUUCUCAAAAUUGUCGUAGCCGGAGGCCCUGGAUGCUGGGGCUGCUUAGGCAUUGAGGGAGGUCACGGAGGAAGAAAUUUCAGCAAGACGUGAGUAUUUCUGCGAGUGCCUGUUAGUUGUUGCCCUCCUGCUGUCUGUACUUGUACCAAAAUGUAAAUGUUAUUGGAACCAUAUAAGUUUUUUUGAAGUUGAAUGAUCUAGAAAUCAGAAUAAGAUUUUAUCUUUCCAUUGGUAAACAACUUUUCGUGUGAAAUCAGGAAUCAUACCACAACUUUCUGUCUAGAGAUAGGCACUUAUACUUGUUCUCUGAAUUCUGCAGUAUAGAAUAGAGUACAGUAAAGCACAAAUAUGGCUCUGCUUGAAUUUAGUCUAACUGAACCUAGCAAGGUGCCCUUGUAUCUAAUUAUUGAUUGAUAGUAAAAAGAGUAGUUUUAGAUACACGUUUACUGAGGUAGGUAGCAAAAGAAUCAGCUUAAUGUGAGAAAUACAUGUGUCUAGCUGCAGUUUAAGUUUUCAAUUUCAGUGAUUUACGCGCGGCUAGUUUUCUUCUUCCAAUCUCUUCAUGUAUGUACGGACACACUUUGCCAGUGCGUGGACGCGUUUGUUGCAUUCUCAAGGAUGUGGAAUAUUAUUUCUUGUACUUUAUCCGUAGCAGUGUGGUACUCCAUACUAUUUUUAAUUUCCUUUUUAGCAAGAAAUAAUUUUUUAUGGUGCCUUCUGUCUGAAAAAACACCUUACGAACAGGAUUGGUUCAUAUGUAUCAAUCAGUUUUUUUAUUUUCUUAAAUUGCAAAGGCCUCACCUCUUGUGUGUUCACCCUGGUUAUUAAUUUUGGUAUAGGUUAGUUGAGCUGAAGCUGGCUUGUUGAAUUUUCUCAUGUAACUUUUGGUCACCACAUCAAGUAACCGCGAAACAUAUUUCAGUUGCCAGCAAAUUUUUAGUGACAUAAGCAAUUAAUGUGAUUAGAUAGUGUAUUUUCUUUGCGGCUAAUUCUAAAUGUGGGACCGUUUUUCUUUUGUGAGAAUAGUAGUGCCAGGCUAAACUAUCUGUAUGUACACAGUAGAGAGGUCGUUGAUAUGCUUACAUCCUCUUCUGCUAUUAAGUUGCAAAAGCAAGGUAUGUUACUAUCUAUUGCGAAUGGCCUCGUCUAGAUUUGGCAAAGUAUAGUAUUGUGAAAUGAAUCCUAAUGUGUGAAACUCUUAUCUUGUAUUAUGUUCCUGUCUAUUAACAGAUUUGGCUAAAUUAGCAUGUUUGUAAAGGAAACUACAUAAAGAAAGCUAUUAAUCUGUUUUAGAGUAAGAACAUUGCUAACAUUCGUACCCUUAAUCUAAUAAGUAUCCUUCUUAUCUAUGUCGAUGUCAAGUACUCUCACUUAUCGUUGUCGAUGCAAAUAGGCGGUCGUACUAUUUAUUUCAUAAGCUACUAAUCUACUAAUUAUCUAGAUAACAUCCUUGUUCUCCUGGGCUUUUGUUUACGUAAUUCAUCUUCAUGUUAAAGCAUUGUUUUUUUGGCUUUCGUUUUAAUCUAAAAGUGUCUAUAAGAUUCUUCCAAAUAGUAGCAUGGAUUGUUUCACCCUGUACAAUCAAAUAUGGUUAGUAACUGUUUCUUAAUCUGACUGAUAAAGUUCCAAUCAAAUAUGUUAAUAAACAGACCUGCUCAUUGAUCAGUAUCAUAUCUAGGAUAAAAAAGUUAGCUAGCCGUACACAUUUGUUAAUAUCUGUAUUCAUGAAAGUAGUGUAUGGUAACAAUAAUCUGCAUUGUCAUGUUCUUUUUUCCUGUUGAAAAAAUAAUUAGAAACCCAAUCUAUAAUAUCCUUUUGUAUACAGUAUUUCCGGCCAUAUCUAACACAUGAACAUCAUGCUUUUGAACCAUACAUUUUAUUGUUUAAUUGAAUGACAAAAAUUAGAAGAUCUCUUUGUAUACUAUAUUCUUUGCGCUAUCUUCGCUUGGGCACUCCGUGUCGUCAAUCAGCACCUUUAAUCCUUCUCUGUUUGUGACUCUUGAUAAUGCCACAUAUAGUUGGCCAUGGCAGAAGACUUGCUUAGGCAAAUAUAGACCCACCUUGUCUAGGGAUUGACCUUGGCUUUUAUUUAUGGUCAUUGCAAAACAAACUGAUAGAGGACAUUGCCUUCUUUUCAGCACGAAGGGCCACUUCGAGUCGCUUGGUGACAUAAUGAUUUUAGGUAUGUAUACCUUGUCACCGACGUGUGUUCCUGUGAUUGUUUGUGCCUCAAUGUACCUGUUUCCCAGCUGUGUGAUAGUCAUUCUUGUACCAUUGGAUAAACCUGCCGCUUGAUUGAUGUUGCGUAGGAGCAUAACCGGCAAGCCUACCUUCAGUUUUAGCUCGUGGUUUGGAAUUCCUGGGAAGGUCAAUUUGUUAAGGAACUCUGUUGAACACAUAUUCUCCAUUGUGUUGUAAUUUGUUGUUGCCUUGCAUACAGUGUCCAAGCUUAGGUAUGUCACCUCUUCACCUUGUAUUUGGCUCAUUACGUAGUCAUUUAUCUUAUCAAUUGUUUCAUUCCUUGGACAUAGUAUUGCUCUUUCUUCAAGAAAUUCAUGGUCACGAUAGUUUUGGUGCAAGUUUGGGUACGUGCUUUUCACUAUCGCUUCUUUCGGGUCUUCUCCUUUUUGCAGAAUUAUGUCUUUAGGUAUUUUUACCCAAUCAUCUCCUUCAUCGUUUGUUUGUUUUCCGUCGCCAAUUUGUAAUAUCCAUUAUGCAAAUUCAGCCACAUUUUGCUUUUGUAUUGGAUCUUCUGACAGGCACUUCAGCCGCAUGUUUUCAGUUGGUCUAAAUAUUUCGAAGUGCUUCCAUAGGUAUGACCUUUUGACUGAGGCAUUUACUAUCUGCUCUCUCUUUCCCUUUGUAACCGCUGGAAGUAUUUGUCUGAAGUCGCCUCCUAGCACAACUGUCAUGCCACCAAAUGGCCUUUCGUCACUGUUUUGGUUUUGGAACCUUAGAAUAUCCCUAAGGCUUUUGUCUAGUGCCUCGAAGCAGUGUUUGUGUGCCAUAGGAGCCUCGUCCCACAGUAUCAGUGAGGUCCUCUUUACCAGUUCAGCCAAAUGUGAGCCUUGUUUUAUUUCACAUGUUGAUUCUUCUGUGAUAUUUAUUGAAAUGUGGAAUCUUGAGUGCGCUGUUCUUCCACCUUGGAGGAGCAAUGCUGCAAUGCCAGAUGAUGCUACCGCAAGCACUAUUUUCCCCUCCGAUCGUAGCUUUGUUGUGAUUGCUUUCCAUAGAUAAGUUUUGCCUGUGCCACCGUAGCCCUCUACAAAUAUCUGUUUUCCAAGUCCUCUGUAAGCUGAUUCCAUUAUGGCAUCAAAGGCAAUUUUCUGGCCAUAGUUAAGAUUGCUAACUAUGGUUUGGUGCUCAAUCUUUAGUGCUUGUGUGUCGUAGCUAAGUUCUUCAUUUAUCAUUCUGUUCCCAAGUUGUUCAAGUUCAGUAGCAUUUGGUAGUUCUAUGCCUGGAUAGUCCUUUAGUGUCUUUCCAGCUUGCCUCAUUAGUUUCUCUAUCUCGAUCAGAGCAUAUGAUUUUUUUCUGUGAAUCAGUUAGCUGCAGCGUAGGAAAGUUUAGGAUUAUUCUUCUUUUGUACUGGAUAUCUUCAGAUAGUGCCUCCCAUGUUGAAUCCCACAACAUUUUUGGGCUAGUCACCUCACAAUGGCAUAAUAUUGUGGUGAAUAGCUGCCGUAAUCGUAUCCCUGAUCCCCAACUUGAUGCUUCAUUGAUGCAUUCAAUCCACUCACUAUCGUCAUCAAGAAAUCCAAGCGCUUGGCAUGCUGAUUUGUAUGUUGGGUGAACUACUCCAUUAAUUGUUCUAAUAUCCUCAAAUGAUGUGCAUCCUUUCUUGAUGUUUAGAAGCAUUCUCAUAUAAUACCGGUCACCACUUGCAGGGUGUGCAUAGUAAAUUCUUCCAAUUGCAAAGCCCCUUUUGCGCUUCUCCCAAGUUUUGGAGUCACUUUUCCAUACAAAUUUUGAUGGGAAUUCUGCAUAGGUUAAUUCUUUUCCCACCUCAUGUAUUUUGUUUGCCUCCAUCCACUCAGUGAACUUAGUACUUGUGGAUCCUGGCAUUCUUACUAAUUUUUCAAUGUCAGUCGAGUCUGGAAAAAUAACUUGUUGCUCGUUUUCAAUGUGGAAUGGCAGUCUCUCUACUGGUGGAUCACGAUGGUGUAGAUCAAACUGGAAUAUCCACUAGCAUGCUUCGGUUGUUGAUAUGUAUCUCAUCUCUAGGUAUUUCUUGAUUUCAUCAUAGUCGCUUGUCGCGUCCCUUUCCUUUAGUAAGGCUGUUACUUGGUCGUCAUCUUUAUGGAUGUACUUAAAUAGGUACUUGAUUGACCUGGACCUGUUGCACCAUUCCGCAUUUAUGUGAGCUUGGAAUUUGACCAAAAGGUUUCUGUUGUAUGGCACAACAAACCUGUUAUCGAGCAUUGCUCCUCCCUUUUUGAUAUUCCUUCCAUUGUCUCGCCUUCUAUAUACUGGAAAGCCAUCCUCAUCGAUUGUCGUAUCGAUAUUGUACCGUUUUGGGAAGUGUUUAGUGCAUUUGUUGUCUAUCAUGCAUGGUGAUUUUGUAUUUGCCUCUCCGCAAGGCCCGUGCAUCAUGAAGUUUUCAACAGCUUCAUAUCCGUCCAGAUCAACAUCUUUGUCUGGGAUCUCCGCACUGAUUAUUUGGUUGAUUUCUGAUGGUCCUUUGCACUUGAGUCCCCUCUUCUGGAACUCUAUUGUGUAGAUAACUGCAUUGAUUGAAUAUAUAGUUUUAUUUUGUUAAAAUUUGGAAUCAUUUUAAUAAAUAGAUAAAGGCUAUUGUGUGUUUAAAAAUUGAAACUUUAGGUCCUAUUAGUUAGCGAUUAGUAGUCGACUGAUCUUACUUGCUAUAGUUUCUCCAAAGUGUUUCUUCACAACGAUAUCUCUCAUUAGCUCCUUCAGUUUUAUCAUGAAUACUCGGUCAACAAUAUUUGGUCGGUCGGCUGGCUUGAGGCCUCCUCCUGCUUCAUCUAGCAUGUAUUGGAUCUCAGGACACUUUGCAUUGCAUGUGAAUGUUAUAAAUAGGUCUGGAUAUCCAGCCCAACGGCAUAUUGCAAAUGCGUCUUGCAAGUUUUGUGCCUUGUUUCUUCUACCUCCUGUAUAAGAUGAAGGUACAAUUAUUCUCUUUCCGACCUGCUCUGUUCUGGUGUCCCCUCGCUCAAUCACGUCAUGUAGUCCACUGUAAAGUUCAGUUCGUAGCUUCCCUUGAUUAUUCCUGAUCCAGUUUAGUCUGUUUUGCUCAAUGCAUGUGUAAACAUCCACCCAAAAUUGAAGCGAGAGAUGUCUAGAUGUUAGCAACGACAUUCCUUGGUCGGGUCUUUGUUGUAGGUAGUAUGCAUAGUAGUCUAGCAUAGUUACAUAUUUCCUGCUUUUGUCACCUUCUUUUAUUCGCUUGUAAGGUAUUUCAAGCUUGAAUCCAUCUUCUCCGUAUGGAAACAAUAACGGGUAUUGCAUUGACAUUAAUUUUGGAUGGAUUUCCGAUAUUCUGUGAGGUUCCAUAUUUUUGUACUCAACAACGAUGUCUCGUCCUUCGCUCUCUCCAGUAGGGUCUCUUACAACUAAUGCUGCAACUUCUGAUGCUGAUGGAAGGUUGUGUGUUCCGUUCCUUUUCCCAAGUAUUCGAAGCGUGUAAUCGUGGUAGUCUUCUUCUUCGAAUCUAUCUCUUGCCAUUCUGAUUGACUUUGCAAGGAUGUUGUUCUCAUCAAGCAUUUCUUGUAGUUCCUUGACAAUGGCAGGGUCCACUGUUGUUUUUUUAUCAUUGCAUCUUGAAGCAUCUAUCCUGUUUUGUACCUCAUUUUCUAUCUGAUAGAUGUAUAGCUGGGCAAAUCGAGGUUUGUUACCUUCUUCGGGUAGAAGAGUUCCAAUAUGGUGGUAGUUCUGGCCAUGCAGUCUAAAAACAUAUGGUCCUUUGCCUUUGUUUAUUUCUUUGUCAACAGUUCCUCCCAUUGACGUGAAUGAGAACAUUGAGUUGUAUGACCUUAUAUUUUCUCUGAAGUUUGUUGCAUCACUUCCUUCACCUGUUAAUAGCCCUGCAAGGUAAGGUGGAGGAUAUGCUAUCUUUGGUAGGCCAAUUUUACCAUGUUUGCAGCAAAUUCCGAAAGAAGGUUUUUUGGUUCCUCUAUGAGAAUUUAAUCUUUCUUCACACCAUAGUAUUGCAUUGCAAUGUUCGCAUAUGUAUGUUGGCUUUCCAAAGUUCCAUAUCGUGCUAUAAUAACUUCUGGACGUAGUGCUGCUGGUUCUUUCUAUGAUGUUGCUUUCAAGCUCAUUGUCGCUUGCAUUUUUUCUUGCAUGCUUGACAUCUUUUCUUUCUUUGAUUUGUUCCUUUCUCUUCCGUGAAGCAUCUUCUUCUGUUUUAUAGGUUGUUUCCUGUGUAUUCCUGCAUCUCUUACUCCUUUUUUGUUGGAGUUGUUGUUUCCUCCUGAUAAUAGCUUCUCUAGCUUCUUUUGUAAGUUGGCCUGCUGAUUUUGAUGUGCACUGUCCCUUCAUUUCUGCAUUGGAUAUUCUUUUAGCAAUAUAGUAUAAUAUAAUUCUAAUUUCUGCAUAAUGUCGUCAAGAGGCUAACGAUAUAUGCAAUAAAUAGGAGAUGGUGGCUGCAUGUAGACAAUCUAUAAUACUUCGAUCAUGCUUUCAGGAUUACUGUGUUUUGUGGUUCGAGCUGCUGUGUAUGGCAUUAUUGGAGGGACAGUGUGCUUGUUUCUCAGUGAACGACAAUUGUUCCAUGGGAAUUACUAAGGCAAAGUACUCUCUAAGAUCAUUGUUAGCAAUAUACGUAAAGUUAUUAGGUUCUGCAAUAUUAACAAAGGUAAAUAUUUGAAAUGUAUAUGUUACAAAUGUACAAAAAAAAGUGUGCAUUACAUGAAGAUUGUAAAAUCUCAAUGAUAUACCUGAUAAUGUUUUCUUGUCUUUGUUUUUCUAAUUUUGUAAAGCUUCACACGCAUGUGCUAAUUAUUGUCGUAAUUGUAUCUUUGCUGCAAAGCCAAUCCUGUAGCGAUCUUGGAAAAUAUUUUAUACCAUGUACAAAUUAUUAGAGCAUAUUUUUUAUUGCUGCAGUGACUUUAUCAGUCUGUGAGUCACUUUUAGUUCAUCACAGAAGCUGUUACUAUUUUCUCAAAGAAAAUAAAGUUUAUGUGAAGAGCCAAGGCAAG
rnacentral:lncRNA from 1 species